UCAUGCGUCGCAUUAGCUAGUUGGCGGGGUAACGGCCCACCAAGGCGACGAUGCGUAGGGGUUCUGAGAGGAAGGUCCCCCACACUGGUACUGAGACACGGACCAGACUCCUACGGGAGGCAGCAGUGAGGAAUAUUGGUCAAUGGCCGCAGGGCUGAACCAGCCAAGUCGCGUGAGGGAUGACGGUCCUAUGGAUUGUAAACCUCUUUUGUCAGGGAGCAAAGGGCGCCACGUGUGGCGUUUUGCGAGUACCUGAAGAAAAAGCAUCGGCUAACUCCGUGCCAGCAGCCGCGGUAAUACGGAGGAUGCGAGCGUUAUCCGGAUUUAUUGGGUUUAAAGGGUGCGCAGGCGGAAUGUCAAGUCAGCGGUAAAAUUUCGGGGCUCAACCCCGUCGUGCCGUUGAAACUGGCGUUCUUGAGUGAGCGAGAAGUAUGCGGAAUGCGUGGUGUAGCGGUGAAAUGCAUAGAUAUCACGCAGAACUCCGAUUGCGAAGGCAGCAUACCGGCGCUCAACUGACGCUCAUGCACGAAAGCGUGGGUAUCGAACAGGAUUAGAUACCCUGGUAGUCCACGCAGUAAACGAUGAAUACUAACUGUCCGGGCAGAAUGAUGCCUGG
rnacentral:rRNA from 1 species